UCUGCUAUUGUAAAAGGUGCCUUAGGGGCCCACGCUCUGGUGAGUUGUGGGCCCUUCCGUGCAAACCCAUCCGUGUACCUUUCCUGUUGCCUCCGUGGGUGCCCUCGGUGCCCGCGGGGGGUUAUAGAGAAAACUAUUUUUUGCUUCCUCAUGUCAUCAUGUCUGAAAGUGACCAGAAAACAAAAAGAUUCA
rnacentral:misc_RNA from 1 species